GCCAGCCCGCUCAGAAACUCAAAGGAAUUGACGGGGCCGCACAAGCGGUGGAGCAUGUGGUUUAAUCGAUGAUACGCGAGGAACCUUACCUGGGCUCAAAUGUAUGUUGACGUAUUCUGAAAGGGAUACUUCUUCGGACAAUAUACAAGGUGCUGCAUGGUUGUCGUCAGCUCGUGCCGUGAGGUGUCGGGUUAAGUCCCAUAACGAGCGCAACCCCUAUCAUUAGUUGCCAUCAGGUCAAGCUGGGGACUCUAAUGAAACUGCCUACGCAAGUAGUGAGGAAGGUGGGGAUGACGUCAAAUCAGCACGGCCCUUACGUCCAGGGCUACACACGUGCUACAAUGGCCGGUACAAAGGGCAGCUACCUGGUGACAGGAUGCUAAUCUCAAAAGCCGGUCUCAGUUCGGAUCGGAGUCUGCAACCCGACUCCGUGAAGCUGGAAUCGCUAGUAAUCGCGCAUCAGCCAUGGCGCGGUGAAUACGUUCCCGGGCCUU
rnacentral:rRNA from 1 species